rnacentral:rRNA from 1 species
AGCCUGAUGCAGCAACGCCGCGUGAGGGACGACGGCCUUCGGGUUGUAAACCUCUUUUAGCAGGGAAGAAGCGAAAGUGACGGUACCUGCAGAAAAAGCACCGGCUAACUACGUGCCAGCAGCCGCGGUAAUACGUAGGGUGCAAGCGUUAUCCGGAAUUAUUGGGCGUAAAGAGCUCGUAGGCGGUUUGUCGCGUCUGCUGUGAAAACUGGGGGCUCAACCCCCAGCCUGCAGUGGGUACGGGCAGACUAGAGUGCGGUAGGGGAGAUUGGAAUUCCUGGUGUAGCGGUGGAAUGCGCAGAUAUCAGGAGGAACACCGAUGGCGAAGGCAGAUCUCUGGGCCGUAACUGACGCUGAGGAGCGAAAGGGUGGGGAGCAAACAGGCUUAGAUACCCUGGUAGUCCACCCCGUAAACGUUGGGAACUAGUUGUGGGGUCCAUUCCACGGAUUCCGUGACGCAGCUAACGCAUUAAGUUCCCCGCCUGGGGAGUACGGCCGCAAGGCUAAAACUCAAAGGAAUUGACGGGGACCCGCACAAGCGGCGGAGCAUGCGGAUUAAUUCGAUGCAACGCGAAGAACCUUACCAAGGCUUGACAUAUACGAGAACGCUGCAGAAAUGUAGAACUCUUUGGACACU